GUAAAAUUUUCAAACAAGUGACGACACCUUAUCAAUACACCUUGCAUAGAACAAUCUUUCGGUCCGUGGCCAGAAGUACCGCCAAUUAGAAAUAACCGUUCUGACUUAUCACUAUGAGAGUACCUAAUAAUUGUUAUCAAAUGAAUAACAACAUAAUAUUAUUUUACUGUCGGCCGACUUUAAUUAAAACAUUUCAUUAGGUACCUAUUUUAAAUUUGAACAGAAAUUCAGAAUAUACAUUGAACAUUCGUACAGUGUUGUAUUCUUACGUUUCAGUAAAAAAUUGACAUGCAUAAGUGUGUUCUUUUUAGUAAAACAUCCUAAGCAUCGCCUCGCCACAUUACCUUAAUUUUCAUUAAUUUCCAAAAAAAUGAAAAUAAAAGGAAAUAAUGGCUGAAAAUCUUCAAAUUAAAUGAUUACCUAAUUUCUAUCUAGAGCAGGAUCUGCAGUAAUCAUUUCACAAUCAGUGAUUAUAAACAAGGCUCAGUAUGUAGUAGAUAUUAUGGCCAGAGGCUGUCACAAAACAUAAUCCAAACCACUUGGAAAACUAGCUAUUAUUAUCUAAGAAAAAAUUAUACUUCUCCAACGAUGGAGAAAUAAAAGAUUUGGAGACAUUACGGUUGAUGAUUUUAAACUAUUCACCCAGGAAAGCCUUAAAAACUAUCUAAUUCACACACACUUAUUUCAUACAGUGGAUUAUACUUAUUAUGGUUUUCAAAACUAAAAUAUAUGAUUCCCACAUACAAGGAACUAGGUAGUCGAGGCAAUGUGUUGACAAUUUUUUGGAUGUGACUUUCUUUAAUAUAAUUCUGGCGGCUUAGAUGAAGCCAUACAAUAUUGGAGCUAAUUAUGAAACUUAAAGGCAAUACAAUUUUUCUGAGCAAGAAUCCAAUUUCAAUGACACAGAGAGCCUCAACAUAUUUAAAUUUCAAAGAAACACAAAACUAGUUUGUACUUCAGUCAAAAAUGAAGAUAAUAUACAGUUAUCAACUACAUUUGUUUUUAGAGACAAGAAGUUAUUUUAGAACUCGUCACUAUUGAUCUGAUUGUUAUGACAAUAUUGGAUCUGUAUUUUUGGACAUAGCAAAGUUUACACACAUAUUUUGCCUGUGUCUUGUUCUAAACAAUUGGAUCAAAAGCCACUUCCAGCUGUUAUUACACAUAUAAUUUGUGAAGUCAUAACUAUCGUACAAGAUUUUUUGACAAACGCUUCACUUGUCAAAAUGGUACGCAUGAGCUGUGAAUAAAUAUAUAUUGAAGAUGUUGCUGAUACGAUGUUAAAACAAUCGGGGUGUCCUAUAUACAUACAAAUGCAGUUUACUGGUCAUCAAACCUGUUCCCAUUCAUGGAACUUACUUCUCAACAAGGAAAGACUAACUACUUUGAAAGAAAACUAUGCAAACACCAAUUACCUUCAGUUGCACUCUGAAUCAUAAUUGUGAAUAAAAUUAUUUGUCAAAGACUUAUUUAUAAUUAUAAGAAAACUUUAUUUUUUAAUUUUAUAAUUGAAGAGAAAAGUAUUU